GAUGAAGAACGUAGCGAAAUGCGAUAAGUAAUGUGAAUUGCAGAGUUCAGUGAAUCAUCGAAUCUUUGAACGCACAUUGCGCCCCCUGGUAUUCCGGGGGGCAUGCCUGUUCGAGCGUCAUUUCACCACUCAAGCCUCGCUUGGUAUUGGGCAACGCGGUCCGCCGCGUGCCUCAAAUCGACCGGCUGGGUCUUCUGUCCCCUAAGCGUUGUGGAAACUUUCGCUAAAGGGUGUUCGGGAGGCUACGCCGUAAAACAACCCCAUUUCUAAGGUUGACCUCGGAUCAGGUAGGGAUACCCGCUGAACUUAAGCAUAUCAAUAAGCGGAGGA
rnacentral:misc_RNA from 1 species